rnacentral:rRNA from 1 species
GAUGAACGCUGGCGGCGUGCCUAAUACAUGCAAGUCGAGCGAACAGACGAGGAGCUUGCUCCUCUGACGUUAGCGGCGGACGGGUGAUUAACACGUGGAUAACCUACCUAUAAGACUGGGCUAACUUCGGGAAACCGGAUCUAAUACCGGAUAAUAUAUUGAACCGCAUGGUUCAAUAGUGAAAGACGGUUUUGCUCUCACUUAUAGAUGUAUCCGCGCCGCAUUAGCUAGUUGGUAAGGUAACGGCUUACCAAGGCAACGAUGCGUAGCCGACCUGAGAGGGUGAUCGGCCACACUGGGACUGAGACACGGUCCAGACUCCUACGGGAGGCAGCAGUAGGGAAUCUUCCGCAAUGGGCGAAAGCCUGACGGAGCAACGCCGCGUGAGUGAUGAAGGUCUUCGGAUCGUAAAACUCUGUUAUUAGGGAAGAACAAAUGUGUAAGUAACUAUGCACGUCUUGACGGUACCUAAACAGAAAGCCACGGCUAACUACGUG